rnacentral:rRNA from 1 species
UCGGGGCAGGGUGAGUCGACCCCUAAGGCGAGGCCGAAAGGCGUAGUCGAUGGGAAACAGGUUAAUAUUCCUGUACUUGGUGUUACUGCGAAGGGGGGACGGAGAAGGCUAUGUUGGCCGGGCGACGGUUGUCCCGGUUUAAGCGUGUAGGCUGGUUUUCCAGGCAAAUCCGGAAAACCAAGGCUGAGGCGUGAUGACGAGGCACUACGGUGCUGAAGCGACAAAUGCCCUGCUUCCAGGAAAAGCCUCUAAGCAUCAGGUAACAUCAAAUCGUACCCCAAACCGACACAGGUGGUCAGGUAGAGAAUACCAAGGCGCUUGAGAGAACUCGGGUGAAGGAACUAGGCAAAAUGGUGCCGUAACUUCGGGAGAAGGCACGCUGAUAUGUAGGUGAAGCGACUUGCUCGUGGAGCUGAAAUCAGUCGAAGAUACCAGCUGGCUGCAACUGUUUAUUAAAAACACAGCACUGUGCAAACACGAAAGUGGACGUAUACGGUGUGACGCCUGCCCGGUGCCGGAAGGUUAAUUGAUGGGGUUAGCGGUAACGCGAAGCUCUUGAUCGAAGCCCCGGUAAACGGCGGCCGUAACUAUAACGGUCCUAAGGUAGCGAAAUUCCUUGUCGGGUAAGUUCCGACCUGCACGAAUGGCGUAAUGAUGGCCAGGCUGUCUCCACCCGAGACUCAGUGAAAUUGAACUCGCUGUGAAGAUGCAGUGUACCCGCGGCAAGACGGAAAGACCCCGUGAACCUUUACUAUAGCUUGACACUGAACAUUGAGCCUUGAUGUGUAGGAUAGGUGGGAGGCUUUGAAGUGUGGACGCCAGUCUGCAUGGAGCCGACCUUGAAAUACCACCCUUUAAUGUUUGAUGUUCUAACGUUGGCCCGUAAUCCGGGUUGCGGACAGUGUCUGGUGGGUAGUUUGACUGGGGCGGUCUCCUCCUAAAGAGUAACGGAGGAGCACGAAGGUUGGCUAAUCCUGGUCGGACAUCAGGAGGUUAGUGCAAUGGCAUAAGCCAGCUUGACUGCGAGCGUGACGGCGCGAGCAGGUGCGAAAGCAGGUCAUAGUGAUCCGGUGGUUCUGAAUGGAAGGGCCAUCGCUCAACGGAUAAAAGGUACUCCGGGGAUAACAGGCUGAUACCGCCCAAGAGUUCAUAUCGACGGCGGUGUUUGGCACCUCGAUGUCGGCUCAUCACAUCCUGGGGCUGAAGUAGGUCCCAAGGGUAUGGCUGUUCGCCAUUUAAAGUGGUACGCGAGCUGGGUUUAGAACGUCGUGAGACAGUUCGGUCCCUAUCUGCCGUGGGCGCUGGAGAACUGAGGGGGGCUGCUCCUAGUACGAGAGGACCGGAGUGGACGCAUCACUGGUGUUCGGGUUGUCAUGCCAAUGGCACUGCCCGGUAGCUAAAUGCGGAAGAGAUAAGUGCUGAAAGCAUCUAAGCACGAAACUUGCCCCGAGAUGAGUUCUCCCUGAGACUUAGAGUCUCCUGAAGGAACGUUGAAGACGACGACGUUGAUAGGCCGGGUGUGUAAGCGCAGCGAUGCGUUGAGCUAACCGGUACUAAUGAACCGUGAGGCUUAACCUU